ACAUUUGAUACUGCUACAUUUUCAGACUCCUCAGACAAGAUCGUCACAAUGACAGUAGAAGAGUUUGCUAAAUAUUCACAGUAUCAAGACGCACUGAAAGCAUCUACUCCUGUUAGUGCUCUGGCAGAGUCAGGUAAAACAUGUCUUGUCUCCUCCUCAAACAAAUGGAUAAUUGAUUCAGGUGCCACAGAUCAUAUGACAGGAUCUUAUGACGAAACGGACAUUUGGUAAAGGACAUGUAUCUGAUGGGCUCUAUAUUCUUGACGAGUGGGUACCUCGACUAGUUGCGUGUGUCAGUACUGCCUCUCCUGUUGAAGCUCAUUGUCGGUUAGGACAUCCUUCUCUACCGGUGUUGAAGAAAUUAUGUCCUCAGUUUGAUACUUUACCUUCAUUAGAUUGUGAGUCGUGUCAUUUUGCGAAGCAUCAUCGUAGUUCUUUAGGCCCAAGGAUUAAUAAACGGGCUGAGUCUUUGUUUGAGUUAGUA